rnacentral:rRNA from 1 species
AAUCUUGCGCACUGGCGGGAACUCUGACGCAGCGACGCCUCGUGAGCGAUGAAGCUUUUCGGCUCGUAAAUCUCUGUCCUUGGGGAUGAAGAUCUUAGGGUUUUACGGUAUCCGCUGAGGAAGCCCCGGCUACCUACGUGCCAGCAGCCGCGGUAAUACGUAGGGGGCAAGCGUUGUCCGGAAUUAUUGGGCGUAAAGGGUGCGUAGGCGGCCUUUUAAGUCAGAUGUGAAAGACCACGGCUUAACCGUGGGGUUGCAUUUGAAACUGGAGGGCUUGAGUAUCGGAGAGGGUAGUGGAAUUCCCAGUGUAGCGGUGGAAUGCGUAGAUAUUGGGAGGAACACCAGUGGCGAAGGCGACUACCUGGACGAAAACUGACGCUGAGGCACGAAAGCUAGGGGAGCAAAC